AACGAACGCUGGCGGCAUGCCUAACACAUGCAAGUCGAACGAGACCUUCGGGUCUAGUGGCGCACGGGUGCGUAACGCGUGGGAACCUGCCCUUAGGUUCGGAAUAACCCCCCGAAAGGGGUGCUAAUACCGGAUAAUGUCUUCGGACCAAAGAUUUAUCGCCUUUGGAUGGGCCCGCGUUGGAUUAGCUAGUUGGUAGGGUAAAAGCCUACCAAGGCGACGAUCCAUAGCUGGUCUGAGAGGAUGAUCAGCCACACUGGGACUGAGACACGGCCCAGACUCCUACGGGAGGCAGCAGUGGGGAAUAUUGGACAAUGGGCGAAAGCCUGAUCCAGCAAUGCCGCGUGAGUGAUGAAGGCCUUAGGGUUGUAAAGCUCUUUUACCCGGGAUGAUAAUGACAGUACCGGGAGAAUAAGCUCCGGCUAACCCCGUG
rnacentral:rRNA from 1 species